rnacentral:rRNA from 1 species
UCCCAGACUCCUACGGGAGGCAGCAGUGGGGAAUAUUGGGCAAUGGGCGCAAGCCUGACCCAGCAAUGCCGCGUGAAGGAAGAAGGCCUUCGGGUUGUAAACUUCUUUUAUCAGGGACGAAGGAUGUGACGGUACCUCUUGAAUAAGCCACGGCUAACUACGUGCCAGCAGCCGCGGUAAUACGUAGGUGGCAAGCGUUGUCCGGAUUUACUGGGUGUAAAGGGCGUGCAGCCGGGCUGACAAGUCAGAUGUGAAAUCCCGCGGCUCAACCGCGGAACUGCAUUUGAAACUGUCAGUCUUGAGUACCGGAGAGGUCAUCGGAAUUCCUUGUGUAGCGGUGAAAUGCGUAGAUAUAAGGAAGAACACCAGUGGCGAAGGCGGAUGACUGGACGGCAACUGACGGUGAGGCGCGAAAGCGUGGGGAGCAAACAGGAUUAGAUACCCGAGUA